rnacentral:rRNA from 1 species
AGGACGAACGCUGGCGGCGUGCCUAACACAUGCAAGUCGAGCGAGGAGAUCCUUCGGGAUGAUCCUAGCGGCGGACGGGUGAGUAACACGUGGGCAACCUGCCUCACAGAGAGGAAUAGCCUUCCGAAAGGGAGAUUAAUACCUCAUAACAUUGCAGUUUCGCAUGGAACAGCAAUUAAAGGAGCAAUCCGCUAUGAGAUGGGCCCGCGGCGCAUUAGCUAGUUGGUGAGGUAACGGCUCACCAAGGCGACGAUGCGUAGCCGACCUGAGAGGGUGAUCGGCCACAUUGGGACUGAGACACGGCCCAGACUCCUACGGGAGGCAGCAGUGGGGAAUAUUGCACAAUGGGGGAAACCCUGAUGCCAGCAACGCCGCGUGAGUGAUGACGGCCUUCGGGUUGUAAAGCUCUGUCUUCAGGGACGAUAAUGACGGUACCUGAGGAGGAAGCCACGGCUAACUACGUGCCAGCCGCCGC